GACGAACGCUGGCGGCGUGCUUAACACAUGCAAGUCGAACGGCAAGGCCCUGCUUUUGUGGGCUGCUCGAGUGGCGAACGGGUGAUUAACACGUGAGUAACCUGCCCUUGACUUUGGGAUAACUUCAGGAAACUGGGGCUAAUACCGGAUAGGAGCUCCUGCUGCAUUGUGGGGGUUGGAAAGUUUCGGCGGGUGGGGAUGGACUCGCGGCUUAUCAGCUUGUUGGUGGGGUAGUGGCUUACCAAGGCUUUGACGGGUAGCCGGCCUGAGAGGGUGACCGGACAAAUUGGGACUGAGAUACGGCCCAGACUCCUACGGGAGGCAGCAGUGGGGAAUAUUGCACAAUGGGCGGAAGCCUGAUGCAGCAACGCCGCGUGCGGGAUGAGGGCCUUCGGGUUGUAAACCGCUUUCGCCUGUGACGAAGCGUGAGUGACGGUAAUGGGUAAAGAAGCACCGGCUAACUACGUG
rnacentral:rRNA from 1 species